UCUGGCCUGCUUUCACCCGACUCCCGGGGUCUGUGUGGUGACUCCACGCCUCUUGUCCCCACCACGCUCCUCCUCUCAGAACGAAUUCACAGAAGAAAUCAACUGCAACAGAUUCCUGGGUCUGAUUCUUUUUGCACUCCGCCCACCUCCACACCCUGGAUAUCAAGCUUCGUGUCAACUAAGCUGAGAACACACAGCAAACAAAACACAGCUGAGGAUGAGAACAGCCUUUCAGACUCUGGUUUGUAGAAUUUGCAUUAGAGAAACCAAUAGCAGAUGGCUGUCUGAGAUUCCAUGAUCAUGUUUUGUGAUUUCCAAAUGCUGGGUCCCUGACGCUUGGAAAAUGUUUUGAGCCAGGGCUGCACCUGGAUCUUGCAUGGGAUAAACUUUUAGGGGGAAGAGGAAGGAAACACCUGUUGAAGGCAGCCAGCAGCUGACACUUUGACAUGCUAAUUUUAUGUCCCUCCCAUAACCACGUGACAAAUGGGUGUGGGUGUUUCCAGGAUAGGGGAUCUGAGACCCAGGGGGAGUGAGCAAGUUGCCGAAGUCUACAUAGCCACGGUUGGAAGAACAAAUAUUCACAUUCAGCUCUGUCUGACGCCAAAGCCACUUUUUAAAAUCUACCUGUCAGUUACGCAAAAGAAAUGAAGGCAAUGUUAGACCCUAGGGAAUAAAUUCCAGAGCCUCAAUGGCUUACCUCAAUGCUUACUUUUCGGAUGCGCGCGUCUGAUCGGUGGA